rnacentral:rRNA from 1 species
AGAGUUUGAUCCUGGCUCAGGACGAACGCUGGCGGCGUGCCUAAUACAUGCAAGUCAACUGAAGCAGUUGUAGCAAUACGGCUGUGGAGGUGGCGCACGGGUGAGUAACACGUAGGUAAUCUGCCUUCAGGUCUGACAUAACUCAGCGAAAGCUGUGCUAAUAUCAGAUUAUGCAGCGGCUUGGCAUCAAGACAGUUGUUAAAGCUUCGGCGCCUGAAGAUGAGCCUGCGUCCCAUCAGCUAGUUGGUAAGGUAAUGGCUUACCAAGGCGAUGACGGGUAGGGGACCUGAGAGGGUGGCCCCCCACAAUGGAACUGAAACACGGUCCAUACACCUACGGGUGGCAGCAGUAGGGAAUAUUGGUUAAUGUGCGAAAGCGCGAACCAGCAACGCCGCGUGUGCGAUGAAGGCCUUCGGGUCGUAAAGCACUUUUUGCAGGGACGAGGAAGGACGGUACCUGCAGAAUAAGUCUCGGCUAACUACGUGCCAGCAGCCGCGGUAAAACGUAGGAGACGAGCGUUAUCCGGAUUUACUGGGCGUAAAGCGCGUGCAGGCGGCAUGGCAAGUUGGAUGUGAAAGCUCCCGGCUUAACUGGGAGAGGUCGUUCAAUACUGCCAGGCUUGAGAGUGGUAGAGGGAAGCGGAAUUCCGGGUGUAGUGGUGAAAUGCGUAGAUAUCCGGAGGAACACCAGUGGCGAAAGCGGCUUCCUGGCCCAUUUCUGACGCUCAGACGCGAAAGCUAGGGUAGCAAACGGGAUUAGAGACCCCGGUAGUCCUAGCUGUAAACGAUGUGAACUUGGCGUUGGCGGGUUUAAAUCCGUCAGUGCCGCAGCUAACGCGAUAAGUUCACCGCCUGGGGACUACGGCCGCAAGGUUAAAACUCAAAGGAAUUGACGGGGGCCCGCACAAGCAGCGGAGCGUGUGGUUUAAUUCGAUGUUACACGAAGAACCUUACCAGGGUUUGACAUGUAGGUGGUAGUGAAGCGAAAGCGGAACGACUCUUCGGAGAGCCUGCACAGGUGCUGCAUGGCUGUCGUCAGCUCGUGUCGUGAGAUGUUCGGUUAAGUCCGCUAACGAGCGCAACCCCUGCUGUGUGUUACAAGUGUCACACGGGACUGCCGGUCUUAAGCCGGAGGAAGGUGGGGAUGACGUCAAGUCAGCAUGGCCUUUAUAUCCUGGGCUACACACACGCUACAAUGGGUGGUACAGCAGGUUGCGAAACCGCGAGGUGGAGCCAAUCCUCAAAGCCAUCCUCAGUUCAGAUUGCAGGCUGCAACUCGCCUGCAUGAAGAUGGAGUUGCUAGUAACCGCAGGUCAGCUAUACUGCGGUGAAUACGUUCCCGGGCCUUGCACUCACCGCCCGUCA